rnacentral:rRNA from 1 species
GACGAACGCUGGCGGCGUGCUUAACACAUGCAAGUCGAACGAUGAAGAAGAGAAACGCGCCCUUCGGUUCAAAUUUCACUUCGGAUUAGUGGCAGACGGUUGAGUAACUCGUGAGCAACCUACCUCUUACAAAGGGAUAGCCUCGGGAAACCGUGAUUAAUACCAUAUGACACAUUCAUAAGGCAUCUUAAGAAUGUUAAAGCUACGGCGGUAAGAGAUGGGCUCGCGUCCCAUUAGCUAGUUGGUGAGGUAACGGCCCACCAAGGCGACGAUGGGUAACCGGCCUGAGAGGGUGAACGGUCACAUUGGAACUGAGACACGGUCCAAACUCCUACGGGAGGCAGCAGUGGGGAAUAUUGCACAAUGGAGGGAACUCUGAUGCAGCGACGCCGCGUGAGCGAUGAAGGAAUUCGUGUCGUAAAGCUCUGUUCUAUGGGAAGAAAAGGACUGUACCAAAGGAGAAAGCCCCGGCUAAAUACGUG